UACGAAGGGGGGCUAGCGUUGCUCGGAAUCACUGGGCGUAAAGCGCACGUAGGCGGCUUUCUAAGUCAGGGGUGAAAUCCUGGAGCUCAACUCCAGAACUGCCUUUGAUACUGGAGAGCUUGAGUCCGGAAGAGGUGAGUGGAACUCCGAGUGUAGAGGUGAAAUUCGUAGAUAUUCGGAAGAACACCAGUGGCGAAGGCGGCUCACUGGUCCGGUACUGACGCUGAGACGCGAAAGCGUGGGGAGCGAACAGG
rnacentral:rRNA from 1 species